UACGUAGGGUGCAAGCGUUGUCCGGAAUUAUUGGGCGUAAAGAGCUCGUAGGCGGUUCGUCGCGUCGGCUGUGAAAACCCGGAGCUCAACUCCGGGCCUGCAGUCGAUACGGGCGGACUUGAGUGUUGCAGGGGAGACUGGAAUUCCUGGUGUAGCGGUGAAAUGCGCAGAUAUCAGGAGGAACACCCGUAGCGAAGGCGGCACUCUGGGCCGAUACUGACACUGAGGAGCGAAAGCGUGGGGAGCGAACAGG
rnacentral:rRNA from 1 species